UACGUAGGGGGCUAGCGUUGUCCGGAAUCAUUGGGCGUAAAGCGCGUGUAGGCGGUCCGGUAAGUCCGCUGUGAAAGUCGGGGGCUCAACCCUCGAAUGCCGGUGGAUACUGUCGGGUUAGAGUGCGGAAGAGGCGAGUGGAAUUCCUGGUGUAGCGGUGAAAUGCGCAGAUAUCAGGAGGAACACCAAUUGCGAAGGCAGCUCGCUGGGACGUAACUGACGCUGAGACGCGAAAGCGUGGGGAGCAAACAGG
rnacentral:rRNA from 1 species